CCUACGGGAGGCAGCAGUAGGGAAUCUUUCACAAUGGGCGAAAGCCUGAAGGAGCAACGCCGCGUGCAGGAUGAAUGCCCUCGGGGUGUAAACUUCUUUUAUAAGCGAGAAAUAUGAUGGUAACUUAUGCAUAAUGAUCGUAUAACUACGAGCCAGAAGCGUCGGUCAUACGUAGGCUCCGAGCGUUAUCCGGAGUGACUGGGUGUUAAGCGUUGCGUAUGUGGUAUAAUAAGUAGAGAGUGGAAUGUGGUGGCUCAACCAUUAAGAUUAUUAGUUAAACUGUUAGGCUCGAGACCGUUGGAGGUAGCUGGAAUUGGUAGUGUAGGAGUGAAAUCCGUAGAUAUUAGAAAGAACACCAAUAGCGUAGGCAGGUUACUGGGCCGGUACUGACACUAAGGCUCGAAAGUGUAGGGAGCAAACGGGAUUAGAUACCCCAGUAGUC
rnacentral:rRNA from 1 species